rnacentral:rRNA from 1 species
UACAUAGGUCCCAAGCGUUGUUCGGAUUCACUGGGCGUAAAGGGUGCGUAGGCGGUCGGGUAAGUCUGACGUGAAAUCUCCAAGCCUAACCCGGAAACUGCGUUGGAAACUGCCUGGCUAGAGGAAUGGAGGGGAGACUGGAAUACUUGGUGUAGCAGUGAAAUGCGUAGAUAUCAAGUGGAACACCAGUGGCGAAGGCGAGUCUCUGGACAUUUCCUGACGCUGAGGCACGAAAGCCAGGGGAGCAAACGGG